rnacentral:rRNA from 1 species
UACGGGGGGGGCAAGCGUUGUUCGGAAUUACUGGGCGUAAAGGGCUCGUAGGCGGCCAACUAAGUCGGAUGUGAAAUCCCCAGGCUUAACCUGGGAACUGCAUCCGAUACUGGAUGGCUUGAAUCCGGGAGAGGGAUGCAGAAUUCCAGGUGUAGCGGUGAAAUUCGUAGAUAUCGAGAGGAACACCGGUGGCGAAGGCGGCCUUCUGGACAGUGACUGACGCUGAGACGCGAAAGCGUGGGGAGCAAACAGG